UUCAAGGUUUUUAUAACCUUGUGAAAUGCAAUGUCAUGGAGGUGGAACCCAUUUCUAUCAGCUUUUGUUAUCAGUCAGCAGUACGGAGGGCUCAGUGCCUGCUUGUAUCUGUGAAGGCACAGCCUACAGAUAAUGAGUUAUGUAGUAAAACAUCGGGCUUGUCCAAGGGGAAAAAAACCCUCACCAAAACACAGCCCAAAACCCCCACCAGCCACGAUCUGCAGUGCUUUGUGAGAAAGGCAGCUCUGUUGGAUUGGCCUCUAAGUGUUGGCUCCACGGAGCAGGUGCUGCUGGCGCUGUGACGUCACAGUGAGAUGUACAAAAACCAGCGGCAUCCAGAAUUUAUAAAGGAAGAAUUCGAUCCCCUCUUACUCCUGUUAGUCAUUCAGGAUGAUAAUGGGAGACAGGCACCACCACCACAGUGAGCAGGAGAAAAGAUUCUUUCUUGUUGUUUUCGCUCUGUCUACACUGAUGUGAUGAGGAGGAAAACCUGCCUUGUUGUUUUUAGUUCCUCUAAUAAGAACUGUGGAAGCUACUGGACUGUGUAACUUCUCUUUCAAAGACAGAGCUGUUUUAUUUACAAACACUCAGCAUCACAGAGGUCUGAAAAUAUCAAGAAGGAAGACAUCCUCGAGGAGCACAGAGUGACCUGUUUGGAAGUACAGAUCCUUCACACUUCCCCUCUGAGAGUCAAUAAAAAUUGUCUUUGUUUUGGAA